rnacentral:rRNA from 1 species
GAUGAACGCUGGCGGCGUGCCUAAUACAUGCAAGUCGAGCGAACAGACGCGGAGCUUGCUCCUCUGAUGUUAGCCGCGGACGGGUGAGUAACGCGUGGAUAACCUCCCUUUCUUACUGGGAUAACUUCGGGACACCGGCGCUAAUUCCGUAUUAUCUUUUGUACCGCUUGGUUCACUAGUGAAAGACUUUUUUGCUGUCACUUAUAGUUGCAUCCUCGCCGCAUUAUCUAGUUGGUAAGGUAACGGCUUACCAAGGCAACGAUGCGUAGCCGACCUGAGAGGGUGAUAGGCCACACUGGAACUGAGACACGGUCCAGACUCCUACGGGAGGCAGCAGUAGGGAAUCUUCCGCAAAGGGCGAAAGCCUGAAGGAGCAACGCAGCGUGAGUGAUGAAGGUCUGCGGAUCGUAAAACUCUGUUAUUAGGGAAGAACAAAUGUGUAAGUAACUAUGCACGUCUUGACGGUACCUAAUCAGAAAGCCACGGCUAACUACGUG